UACGUAGGUGGCAAGCGUUGUCCGGAUUUAUUGGGUUUAAAGGGUGCGUAGGCGGUUCCAUAAGUCAGUGGUGAAAUACGGCAGCUCAACUGUCGAGGUGCCAUUGAUACUGCGGAACUUGAGUACUGAUGAGGUAGGCGGAAUUGACGGUGUAGCGGUGAAAUGCUUAGAUAUGACAUAGAACACCCAUUGCGAAGGCAGCUAACUACGCGAAUAUUGACGCUGAGGCACGAAAGCGUGGGGAUCAAACAGG
rnacentral:rRNA from 1 species